CUUAGAUUUCUCAGCUGUACUGGAUCUGUGAAAGCUUACAGGAUGAAUGGCUAGGUUUCCAGUCUUUAUCUCCCCUUGAAUCUUACCAUCUGUUCUUAUUUGGCAGUGCAGAAGGAUUUGGUGGCAGUUACUGAAGUUGAUGAAUCUGACUGAAAUUUCUUUUCUGGGUUGUGUGUUACAGGGGUUGCUUGAGGAGCUUUUGUGGUCAGUCUCAGAUGGAAUGGAAUCCUUCACUCUCUGUACCUUCUGGAUUUCACAGUCCUGAAAUGAGUCUCAGAAGCCUGUGAUCUGUUAGACCUGCACACUACUGAAGUGAAAAAAAGAAUGAAACGUAGAAUGUGGAAAGAAGACAGCACUGUUUUUUCUCAUAUUUGUUUUCCUUAUCAGCAAGUCCAACUUUGAAAAGCUGUCUUUGAUUUUGAAAUUUCUCUGCUGUUAUCCUAGAGACUUGUGUAAAUAUUUAGAGAUAUAAAUGCUGUUUUUUGGAGUAAGAGAUACCUGCGCUUUUGUGCACAGCAGUCAGAGAUGAAGUUUUUACAAUAUUCCCUUACAGUAUCCCUGUUUUCUUUAUUUCUGAAAGUUGACAUUGAAAUCAAAUCGGAUCAGUUUCUGGCUUAUGCUUUAAUGAGGUACCAAAGGGCAGUUAAGGAUCUGCUUCUUGAAAUGAUAUGUCUGAAUGAAAACCCACCUGUUGUUUCCUUUUGUCAGCUGUCCUCAGAUUCUCUUCUCAGUCAAAUCUAUGAAAUAAUUUGCCAGUUGUUGCAGUCUGUCAACUACACCUGUUAACUAGAAGUCAUUUCCAUACAACAGCUGUCCCUCCGUGGCUUCUGUGUAAUUAUUUGGCUGUCACCCCCUCUGCUCCCCUGCCCCCCCAAAACCAGAACCCACAGCCAUUUGGCAUUCUUCUAAGUACUUUUAAAGAGCCCCAGGCCUGAGUUGACAUCAAGGUUGGGUGUCAGUCUGGGAGUCAGGGCCCUUUUUGCAGCAGGAUCUAGGACUUUCAGUAAUUUCAUGUAGUUCAUUGGGUCAGAGUUAUGCUGAGCUGGCAAAGUAGAUCUUGCAUAAUGGCUGGUAACGUUUUAUCUGCUCGUGUGGAUAAACAGAGGAUUUUGAUUUUCAUCUCUCUCAGUCAUGCAUUUUUUUCCAACUGCUUGAUUAAUUUUUAAACUAUGCUGUUCAGGCUUUCAUAAUAAUCCUUCUCUUUCAUUCCAGCAAUUUUUGGCAGUUACUAAACUCCAUGCAUGACCAUGAGAUCCUUAAAACAGCUUAUCAAGAGGUAGUUGUACACUGACUAGAGCCAAAAAAGUUGUACUGGAGUACUGCUGUAUGGCACAGCAUUGGCCUAAUCAUUUUCAAAAUGAUCAAUAACUGCUUAGACAUUGAAAUUUGUGACAAUUUUAGUUCUUUUUUUUUUUUUCAGGUAUUAAUAACUUCCUGAUGAAUGCUAUCUUCAAACAUUUUGCAAGCAGCUACAGACCAGUAUGAGACUUUGUAGCUAGUUUUUAGACUGCAUAACGUUCAUUUCUUCCCUCUGGCUGCUGUUUUGAUUCUAGACAAUUCCCAAAAAAUUAUUCACCAAAACACUUCAGACCUUAAUUUUUGAAAAAAAGUUUUCCCCAAUUCAGCCUUGUUUUUUUUGAUUAAAAAAACUUGUCUGCUUUCAUUUCCUCCAGCUUAGGUUAAUGGCUCUUCUUUUUGGUUUGCCUAGUAAACUGCUUCAUUGCAAUCAAAUUUGGUGUGAAAUUCAGCUGUCAGAGUGCAAAAAAAACAAGAAUGACAUCAACUCAGUCCUUGUUUAGAGCUUGCUAUUCAUACAACAAAGGGAGAUUUCAAGGCCCUUCUAAUGUUCUGCCUUCCUCUAUCAUCAGGUCCCAGAUUGUAUUUCAGAUUUGGAUCUUUUUGUUGAAUAAGACAUGUUUCACUUUUUAGUGAAGUGGAUGACUAAAAAAUACCUUGAAUCACACUGUGUUCUCUCAUACCCAAAGCACCUACAGAGUGGCCCUUGAUCCCCUGUGUGGGUUAUACAAUUGUACAUUAAGGAAUUAGCAGAUGCUACAGGAAGAGCUACAUAUACUGUGACCUACGUUUCACCACUCAAAAUUACACAAGCUGUUGUUCAGGUUUAUUUGACUCCAUGUUAAAUCUCAGCCCUAGCCUCAGCACAUCUGACUGUGUCUUGAACAACUUUAAUUAAAAAAAACCACACAAAUGUUGACAUGUGGAUAGCCACGAGGAAAAGAUGAAAUUCUGAACAUACUGAACUUGCAACUGGGAGGAAUUUUCUGAGUCAGUGAGCCCUAUCCCAUGUUUUUCCAGGAAAACUUUCUUUCACUAAUCAUGGUCUACAUUAAAGUUUAUUUGGUUGGAUAAUCUACUGCCUUUGAAAGCCAAACAUCUCAUAGACUCCAUGUGGGUUGGGAUUUCAUUUCAAGUGCCAGUCCUAUGAAGAAAGGCUGAGAACACUUGGGUUAUGUAGCCUAGAAAAAACUCCAGAGAGAAUUUACAGUGGCCUUCCAGUAAUUAAAGAAGGCCUACUGGAAAGAUGUAGGGGGACUUUUUACCAGGGAGUAUAGUGGCAUGACGAAGGGUAACCAUCUGAAACAGUAAGAGGGUAGAUUUAGAUUAGUUAUAAGGAAAACAUUCUUCACUAUGAGGUGAUGAGACACUGGAACAGGUUGCCCAGAGAAGCUGUGGAUGUCUCCCUGCAAGCUCCCUGCAAGCAUGGAAGGCCAAGUUGGAUGGGGAUUUGGGCAACCUGAUGUAGUGUGUGGCAACCUUGGCCAUGAUAGGCAGGAUGUAACUGUAGGAUAUUUAAGGUCCCUUCCAACUCACGGAAAUUUUCUGACUAAUAACCCUAGGGUUAAGGUUGUUACACUCCUACUUACAGGUAUAUCUGAAUGGAGUACUGGCCUCCUUUUCUGUAGGGAGUAUGUAGAAUGACCGUAGAGGUUGGGAUAAGAAGGUUUUCUGCAUGUUAAACAUCUUCUGUUAUGCAGUGGGGAGAAUUUUAUGUCUAAAAUCUCCAGUUUCCAGUGGUAGGUGGUGGCAAGAGAUUCCUUGCUCCUUUUCUUAAUGCAGACUUCAUCAUCACCCUAGCUGUGUGUUGGUGACUAAUUUUUUUCCCUAAGCUAAAAGGCAAAACUGAGAGUAUUAGAGGGUGAAGUACUAACCUGCUUUACAAUACUGCAAAUUUUUUGCUAUUGAUCUUGUGCUGGUGAAGGUAGUUUUUUGUCCUUGUUAUAUAGUUUUCCAAUUUCUCUCUCUUUUGCAGCACUUACAUCCCAGCUGUGCUCAAUUUUAUAUCAGUCCUGGAGGAAACUUGUCAAACAGAUUCUGCACUUUGCUUCCCUAAAUUCACAUCCAGCUUUCCAAAGUAUUUUUCUGUUUGCUUCAUGAUUUUGUCCUUUCUGUAACUUUCUGAGAAGCAGUGGAAAGGCAAACUAUCAUUGCAGACCAUUUGCCUGUCUGGCAAGGGAAAUGGCAUGAUUUAAAUGUGGCUGAGCUAAAGCAAUAUUAAAACCUCCAGGAAAAUUCUAACAUUUGUUCGGAUGUUUUUGUUUAUUUUUGGAGCUGUGGAAUAUCCAUGAUUGUCAAUGUUUUGACCCUCACUUUGAAGAAUGUCAAAUUUGUGCCAGCAAACUCAACUGUCAAUAUUUUCAUUUCACACAUCCUUAUAGAAGUUCAUAACUGAUCUAUAAAAUUACACAUACUGAGCAUAUGUGGUCACAGGUAGGAAAGGAUUUAAUAAAUGAAUACAUUAAUACAAAUGCGUCUUUUUAAAGGUUAUAAUGCCACAAUUAUAUUUUUUUCAAAUGCAUUUACAAUCCUGUUAUUUAAAGGCAAGCCUGUCAGAUUUUUCUUCUUCUAAACUCAAAAUGAUUAACCUCUUAGUCUUUAAUGUGGACUGAUGGAGUGCCUGUGACCAUUAUGGCAAAUAACCACAUUAUUGCAUUUAGGAAAUUAGCUACUGUGUGCUUAUGAUAAUUCUGUCCCCAUGAAACUAGCUCACAAAUUUUAAGCAAGCAGGCUUAUUGCAGAAUUCUGUUCUGCUUUUAGAUACACACUGUCUUUGUGUAUUCACAUAGAUUCAUCAGAGUGUAUUUGAAAGGAUCUUUGUCAGCCAGUGUUAACGUUAGGAGUUUCUAUGCUGAAAGACAGGGUAAGGGGGGAGCUAAGGGGUUUGACUUUCAGAAUGCUGUACAUUUUGAAGAGAAAAUGAGUAACCUUUUGAAAAUUUUUCAAUAAAUCCCAAUGUCUAACUGAACAAUACUUCUGCAGGAAAUCUAUCCCAGUGGUGUGCUGCUCAAUCAUCAGUCUCAAUGGUAAGAGUAGCAGCACAGGUCAGUCUAGUCCUAGUUUUGUAACAUCCUGCUUCACACAGGCAGCUCUCAGCAGCAUUAUGUGGCAGUGGUGUGGUCCCCACCCUGUCCUCAUUGCUUCCAUGUGUGAAACUAUGACUUGAGGAGCUAAAAGUUUAUAAUAAGGCUUUCCCAUCAGAGAGAGAAAAGUAAAUGAAUAAAAAUGGUGGUGACCAUCUUGAAGAUUUCUGAAUACCCUAGUAUUUCAGUGUGCAAUGAAAUCAUGAGCCCUACUAUGCCUUGCAUGGUUUUGUAUUUCAGUCAAAAGAGGUCACAGGGUUCAAGUACUAGGGUUACAUUAAUAUGGCAAUAUGUUGAAAAUAUAAAGAUACGGUGUCCUGAAAUAAGCUCUAAAUAUCACUAAAUAAAUAAUUCUGUGCUUGGAAUGUAUGACAUUCUGAUGUCAAGACAAUCUGAUUAGUGUCUAUCAACUAAUUUGGGAUGAUGUUAAUUCUCUUACAGAAGUAAGUUGGCAUACUUUCUAGUAAAGCCUUACAGGAUGCAUUAAUAAGUCUCAAAAAAUUAAUGAGCAGAAAUAUCACACAAAUCCUUUUGGAAAAAAUAAAAAACAAUAUUCUUUAUCCUGCAAUUUAUUUUGCAGAACGAGGUAAAUACUUGAUAACUCCAUGAAAAUGAAAGCUUUUCCAGAAUUUCCUUGCUCCUGAUAGAGUACAAAAAUACCCUCUGUCUUUAAAAAGUGUACGUGUUUUUUUUUGGUUGCUUUUUCUCUUUGCACAAGUAGUGUAAUAGGAAGUGAAGUCUAAUAUCAUCCAGUCUUUGUAUUAUAGAUCUCCAUAGCUGCAAUAACAAAAUUCCAAAUGUGGUAAAACCGAUUUGAUUUUGUAUUUGUUCACAGUUUUUUGUUGGAUUUUCAGAUUUUAAAGGGCAGUGAACAAAUCUGGCCAACUUCAAGGUAUGUUCUUCACGUGCAGUACAUAUAGACUUGCUUAGGAUAUAUAGGAACUGAUGGUUGGACUGGGAUACUUGGUAGCAGGAUCCAGAUUUUCACUGGUUCUUUACAGAGAAAGGAGUCUGGAAGAAAAUGUAAACAUUUCCAUCUGUUCCCUGGGAACUGGAAUUGAUUACCCUACUUUGAAAAGGAGCCCUUCAGAAUGGCAAUGAAAAUAUAAGGAAUUUCUUAUAACAUCAGGAAAAAAAAAAAAUUGAGAAGGUAACGACAGCAUUUUAUUUUAAUGGGCACCAUACAUAUUUCAGGAUUUAUUUAUUUCCUUGAUUCAUAUUUACUUUGAUCUCCUUGAAAAAAUGUUGGGCUUUCUCCUUGGCUACCCUGGUAUAAAAAUACUAGUUUGUUCCUUUGCAUUACUGGAAGAUGAAAACAGUAUUUGGCCUAGAUAGUAUUAGAGGAACGUUUCCGACAAAAGGUAGCUAAUGACUUUCUAUUAAAAAACUAAAACCCAAGAACUUCAUAUCCAUACAAUCAUACAUUUCUGGGCUUGUCUGCUGCAUGGUGGGGAAGAAAUUGUUGCCAGCUUUUAAAAGUAAAAAUUUGAGCAACUUGACAAUUUAGCUAUACAGUCCACUUACAAUUCCCAUUUCAAAUGGACUUGGAUACAAAUCUGAGCAUAGAUUCAUACAAUCCAUGGAACCAUAAUAAAAUCCUAUUACUCAUACAACAAGAAGAAUUUCUAUUGCUCCUAGGACAAGGCUGCCAGAAAUUCUGGAGUAAUGCCCUGGUGAAUGCAAGAAUUUUUCAAUAUGCUCAUAAGACUGCAAUUCAAAGACAAGAGGCAGUUGCAGUAGGCUCCUAAAUAGCUAUCAAUUGACUGAUACACUUAGUUGGUUAAUUAAUCUUUGAUGAAAGACCUACUCAAAAGACUAAAUUCAAAAUGUAAGAACUUGUGCUUGUCUAAAAUUAAUCCAGUUGUCAUAUUUUUCUUUUCACAACAGAAAGAGAAAUGGGAUGGGGACAUUCAUUUGACUGUUUCAUUUCUGAAACACUAAUGUAAACUUGGAAUUGACCUGUCAUUUGAAAAAUGAGCAAUACCAAAAGUUAUGAAGUGCAAAGAAAAUAUACAACAAGACGAGAAAAGAGGGAGUCUUGGAACAGUAAUCAAAGGGAGUACUUAUUCUGUCCUUGGUAACAGGAAAAGUACAAAGAUGGAAUUCACAAAGAAACAUAAAGGGAAAAAAAAUCUCUUGGAAAUGUUUGUAUCAAAAUCUCAUCUACCACCAACCCUUUUUUAUAGAAGGAAGUCAGCACUACUGGAAAAGAAAAUGCUAAAUCUGUGUUCUUUGACUCAUCUUCAUUUCUGCUGCUUACCUAAGAAAACAGCAACUCUGUCCAGGUUGGAGAGGUUCUCUUAAUAUUUUUUUACUCUAUGCAGAAUUUUACCUAACUUGCAUCAUUUUUCAGAAGCUUAUUCAAAACAGGUUUCCUAAAAAGAAUAUGCAAUUACAAUGCUAAAUGAGUACCAGAAAAUGGAAACAGUCAGUUUUGAGAACUCCAUUGUAUCUACAGGAUUUAGAUCACAUUUUCAACUGCAUCAAUUUUUACGUGUAAGAAGGAAGAGACAAAAGAAACAAAGAUAAAGUGGGAAGUCUUUAGGGACAGCAAGCGGAUUCAGAACAAUAUGGAAGUAAUCAAAAGUCAGUCAACAGACAAAAUAAAUCUUCAUAGAAGGGAAGUACUGGCUAAAGCUAGAGCAGUUUAUGGAAAGUCAGACUAAGGUAGAUGCAGUCUGUUUACAUAAAAGACUAAGAGAUUACAAUAAAGAUAUGAGAUAAUUAGCAUUGGCUAAAUCUCACAUGGUUUGGAGCUUUGUUUCAGUUAGAAUAAGCAUCAAGAAAUCUGUCUGCUUUACUAGAUCUUCUCCAUGGCUUCAAGUUUAUUAAAGCAAAAAUUCACAGAAGAAUAUAUGCAGAAAUCCUAGCACUUCUUCCAAAUGUCCCCUCUUCCAUGUUGUAGACUAUUUAUUAGUGCUUCCCAAAGGUACAUAAAAGUGUAUUCUAACCCUGAUUUUCUUUAAACACCUUGAUUCCCAAGUAGCAUUUGAGUUUUAGAUAAUACUUAUUUUCAUGUCUCAUUCCUCUAGCAUAAUUCACUCCAUUUUUAAAAUCACUAGAUAAAGAAGCAAGUGAAUUGUUACCAAUGUAUGUAUUUAUAUAUAAAGAUAUGUAUAUAUGUAUUUACAUAUAUAAAUUUCUGAAUUUUGAAGACAAAGUUGAAGAGAAAUAAAGCAUCCAGAUUGUAGUACAAUGCUUUUCUUCCAAGAGUACAGUGUAUAAACAACAAAAUUUCAAAUACUUGAUUGGUUGUCAGAUCAUGAAGAUGAAAGAAACUUUUGUACACAUAGCUGCAAAGGAGAAAAGAAAACAAGAUAGAUUAAAAGUCCUGCAUGUGAUUGAAUUACGGUUGACACAAGACAGACACACUUAAGACUCCAGCAUAACAUUCGUCCUGUUGAAUGAGCUGUUAGCUGACUCUUAGGGUAAUCCCAGACAUCACUGUGCUCAGGAAUCCCAGCUUCCCAGUCAUCCUCGUGUUACAUCUUCUGAGUGUAUGUCCAGAAUGCUACAGGUUUUUCGUCACAUGGAAAAUUUUUCUUUUGAAUUUGGUUCAGCAGCAAUCUAGCUUCCAGGGGUCAAAGGAAUCCAGAGGAAUCUGAGUGUGUAAAGACUGCAUCCAAUAUCUUUCUGUUGGUGAAUGGGCUUGGAGAUUCCAAAGGGGUUUUAUUCACUCCUUCUUCCCCUUUAACCCAUUCCAAACAUUUAUCUUCCCUCCCUUUCUAAGACAGAGACAUAGGUUACUAAAUCUACUCCAGAUGUAGAUGUAUUUCUGUACUUUGUGCUGUCUCUGCAUUUUGCUGUGUGGAAUAUGUAGUGUCUGCCCAUCUCAGGUACAGCUGUAGUACAAGAUAUCACUGGUGUUUCCCUUUGUCCACAUAUUUGACAUCCCCUCUUACAUACUUACCAAAGCUUGAACCUGACAGUACUUCUCACUGCUCAAGACAAUCAAAGUGAUUUGUAAUAA
ensembl:lncRNA